GGGAGGCAGAUUUGAGAGCCUUGCCUCCUGUCUCCUUGUCCAUCAACCUCACAAUAAAGCCUUUUCUUUUCCCAAAAGUCUGUGCCAUAGUAUUAGCUGCUACGCUCAUCAGGCAGUGAGCCCUUUUGCUCGGUAACAGUUUCCUCUCGUACAUUUUCAGUCCAUGUUCUUGGCCCAUAUUUCUAUUGGGCUGUUUGUUUUUCUUGCUGAGUUGCAAGUUUGUUGUAUAUUCUGGAUACUAUGUUAGGUCUGGUUCCCAGAAGCAGAUCCUGAUACAAGGACUCACAUACAAGUGACUUAUUAUUAAGAAAGGAUUUAUCAAGAAAGCAGAUAUUUAUAGGGGAAACUGGUAACAGAGUGGGGGGGGGUCAAGACAGGAAAGGGGAGGAAACAAAGCAGAGCGUGCUCUAAGUCCUGCAGAAGGUAGUGUCUGCCUGAUCCCAGGGGGCUCUGGAAUGUAAGUCACCAACCCACCUGUCAUUGGCUAAAGGUCAUGUUGUAGGAUGUGAAUUCCUAUGCAUUUCUAGCUCUGGGGGGCGGGGGAGGGGGCAAGUGACUCCAGCAAUCUUUUUACAAAGAGCCACAGAUGUCAGCCAUUGGAAGCAAAAACAUACCAGCAGGUGUGCACAAAAACAGUCAAAAGGAAUGGAAGGUGAUCUGGGUGGAGAACGGACACCACCCACCUUAGUGAAGAGAUCAUUCAAUUUCACUAUUAAUUUGAGAAAUACAGACUAUAACAAUAAGAUAUUUUCUACCUAUCACAUUAGCAAAGAUAUAAGAGUUAGUCAAAAGUUCUAACCACAGAAAAAAAUUUUUUGGUGCUAUGUGAGGUGAUGCGUGUGUUCACUAACCUCCUUGUGCCCCCCAGGACAUAGCUGUAUAUUCUAGUUGUAGGUCCUUCUGGUUGUGCUGUGUGGGACGCUGCCUCAGUGUGGCCUGAUGAGCGGUGCCAUGUCUACGCCCAGGAUCCAAACCAGCGAAACCCUGGGCCACUGAAGCGGAGCGAAUGAACUUAACCACUCAGACACGGGGCCGGCCCCAGUCACCUACCUUUCGAUGCAGCGAUUUCUUUCCCAGGAAAUUUAUUCUCUAGCCAUAUUGACACAGGAGCAGACUGUGUCUGUGACACUAUUUGUAAAGGCAAAAAAACCCCCCAAGCAACCAACUGGCUACCAACAGGAGACAUCCACACAAGAGAAUAUUUUUUUGUCAUUAAAAAUUAAAUGAAGUAUCCAAUUCCAUGCAGGGGCACGGGAAGAUGACCAUGAGAUACUGGAUAAAUUUGCUUACUGUGUGACCUUAUACAAGUUACUUAACCUCUCUCAACCUCAAUUUCUUCAUCUCUAAAGUGAGGACAAUAUUAUUGAAGUAACAGGGUUGCCGUGCAGAUGAAAUGAUGAUACAUAUCAAGUGUUUUGCAUAGUGCCUGGCACAGCAAAAACGCUCUAUUAGUAAUAUUGUCAUUGUUAAGAGAAAAAAAAUGAAAGCUUCAAAACAGCAUGUAUAAGUGCUUUGCUUUUGUUAAAUCCAACUUAUACCAUAGGAAAAAAAAUCAUACUUUUUAAAAGUCUGAGAUUUGGAGGAUAGAGAACUUCUCCUUUUUACUUAGUACAUGUUGGUAUGUAUAACAUUGUCAAGAAUGACCACAUUACUUUAAAAGUGACGAUGAAACGUGGUUUUCAAAAAGAUGUGUGAGACUCAGACUGUGGAGUGUUGCUAAGUUGUUUCCACCAGCAUUUCCUCUUUCUGCUGUUUAGCUGAAAGUUUCUGCUUAAAAACUCACUUCUGCUCAGUGCUCUCACCUAGUGUCUCUGUGGAGUGGACAGAGGUAUCGUGACAGUGAAGACCAAGGACUCAACAGAGAAAAUAUUCUGCCACCAGCUCACACUCAGAGGGAACAAGGAGCGGUUUGCAGUUUUGACAACCAGAAGCCAGGCCAUAUUGUUAACGACAGAGGACAGACUGAAUCCUAUAGCUCUGAUGCCCCAGUCAAAUCUGCAAGGGCCCUGGAAGGACAGUGUGAUAUAUAUAUAUAUACACCCCUAAAAAAAAAUCUCAGCGGGUUACUUCAAAUAAAGUGCAAACCAGAACACUGUGGAUAUUUAGAAUAUGGAAGACGAGAGAUUUGAGCCAAAAAAAUGUUUGCCUACACAAUAUUCUUCCUUUCAUUGUCUGCCAGGAGAGUUACGUAAGCCUCGCCUCAGUCCCACCCAGAGCC
ensembl:lncRNA